GACGAACGCUGGCGGCGUGCCUAAUACAUGCAAGUCGAGCGAAUCGACGGGAGCUUGCUCCCUGAGAUUAGCGGCGGACGGGUGAGUAACACGUGGGCAACCUGCCUAUAAGACUGGGAUAACUUCGGGAAACCGGAGCUAAUACCGGAUACGUUCUUUUCUCGCAUGAGAGAAGAUGGAAAGACGGUUUACGCUGUCACUUAUAGAUGGGCCCGCGGCGCAUUAGCUAGUUGGUGAGGUAAUGGCUCACCAAGGCGACGAUGCGUAGCCGACCUGAGAGGGUGAUCGGCCACACUGGGACUGAGACACGGCCCAGACUCCUACGGGAGGCAGCAGUAGGGAAUCUUCCGCAAUGGACGAAAGUCUGACGGAGCAACGCCGCGUGAACGAAGAAGGCCUUCGGGUCGUAAAGUUCUGUUGUUAGGGAAGAACAAGUACCAGAGUAACU
rnacentral:rRNA from 2 species